rnacentral:rRNA from 1 species
AUGGAUACUAGCGUUGGAGAUUCGGUUUUGCAUUGUGAUGAUUCUUCCAUGGAUGAGCCAGAGCUGCAGUUAGUUGCUUUUGAUAUUGAGGAGUCACAUGUAGUUGAUAUUGAUCAUGUGCUUCUAGAGCCAGAUAUGGAGAAGUUCACCUUCGAUGAUGUUAGCUGCAUUGAUUCCUCAACACUUGAGCCUGAGAUGGAGAGCUUCAUGGUUAAUUAUGAUGAGGUGGAUUCAGAUGUUAAGGAGCCAAGCUCUACUAUUUCACUUGUUGACACGAGUCCGGUGGAAAUUUCUACUACCACACCUCACUUGGUAUCUUCAAUUGAGGUAGUCCUGAAGCUUCUUCCUAACUAUCUCAGGUUUAUGCUUGUGCACCAUUCACUGCGGGCUGCCCAAGUUCGAGAUGACAUCCCAUGGGAUCCUGGUGGAUUCAUGGCAUGGUGA